rnacentral:rRNA from 1 species
GGUGGCCUCUAUUUAUUAUGGACCUUGGGGGGAUCAGCUCGCAUUUUUUAGCUCUUGGUAGGUUAAUGGUCUACCACCAAACGAUGGUGAGCGGGUCUGAUAGGAUGAUCCGUCACACUGGAACUGGAACACGAACCAGACCCCCACGGCAGGCACUGUGAGGAAUAUUGCGCAAUGGGGGAAACCCUGACGCACCCUCCCCCCGUGGAUGAUGAAUGCCUUUGGGUCGGAAAAUCCUGGCAGAUGGAAUGACAUGUGCAUGUGCUAAUAUCACUUGUGUUUGACGGUACCAUUGAAGGAAGCUCCGCCUAGCUCCGUGCCACCAGCCGCGGUAAUUCGGAGGUGCCAGCGUUGUUCGGAAUUACUGGACGUAGAGCCCGAGUAUGUGGCUUUUUAAGUGAAUGUGAAAGACACCGGCUCACCGUGGAAGUGCUUUUGAAACUGCAAACCUUGUGUA